GCCGCCGAGCGCUGAUUGGCCGGGGCGAACACAUUUAUUCCCUGACAAGCCCCCAUCACAUGGAUGGUUGUCUAUUAACUUGUUCAAAAAAGUAUCAGGAGUUGUCAAGGCAGAGAGAGAGAGUGUGUGUGUUUGCAAAAGGGGGUAAAGUAGUUUGCUGGCUCUUUAAGACUGAGGUGGAGAGAGAGAGAGAGAGAGAGAGAGAAAGAGAGAGAGAGAGAGAGGCAGGCAGAGAAAAGGGAAAAAGGAGGAAGAAGAAGUUUUUUAAAAGCAAGGCUCCGGCGGUAAUAAUAGCAGUUAUUAGCAUUAUUAAUCCAUCAGCGAAGAGGAAGAUUCUGAUCGUGAUCCAAGUGUGGUUUUGGGGAGUCCCCCUCCCCCCUUUCAUACCCCUCCCUAGGAAAAAAAAAAAAAAAGUCCGGCUUGGGACUUUGCUGCCGCUGCUCCUCGCUUCUCUGCUCAAGGCUGGUUCCAGGCAAAAGUAGUUUGAAUGUACAACAUGAUGGAAACCGAGCUGAAACCUCCCGCCCCCCAGCAAACUUCGGGGGGAGGCACAGGCAACUCCAACUCGGCCGCCAACAACCAGAAGAACAGCCCGGACCGGGUCAAGCGCCCCAUGAACGCCUUCAUGGUGUGGUCCCGCGGGCAGCGGCGGAAAAUGGCCCAGGAGAACCCGAAGAUGCACAACUCCGAGAUCAGCAAGCGGCUCGGGGCCGAGUGGAAACUUUUAUCCGAGGCGGAGAAGAGACCCUUCAUUGACGAAGCCAAGCGGCUCAGAGCUCUGCACAUGAAGGAGCACCCGGAUUAUAAAUACCGACCCCGGAGGAAAACCAAGACCCUGAUGAAGAAGGAUAAGUACACGUUGCCAGGGGGCUUACUGGCACCGGGCACCAAUACCAUGACGACUGGGGUAGGGGUUGGGGCCACCUUGGGAGCUGGGGUGAACCAGAGGAUGGACAGUUACGCGCACAUGAACGGCUGGACCAACGGAGGCUAUGGGAUGAUGCAAGAGCAGCUCGGCUACCCGCAGCACCCGGGCUUGAACGCGCACAACGCGGCGCAGAUGCAGCCCAUGCACCGCUACGACGUGAGCGCCCUGCAGUACAACUCCAUGACCAGCUCGCAGACUUACAUGAACGGAUCGCCUACCUACAGCAUGUCGUACUCCCAGCAAGGGACCCCGGGCAUGGCCCUGGGCUCCAUGGGCUCGGUGGUCAAGACGGAAUCCAGCUCCAGUCCCCCCGUAGUCACCUCAUCGUCUCAUUCAAGGGCUCCUUGCCAAGCUGGGGACCUUCGGGACAUGAUCAGCAUGUAUCUACCAGGUGCUGAAGUACCAGAACCAGCUGCCCCAAGCAGACUUCAUAUGUCCCAACACUACCAGAGUGCACCUGUUCCUGGCACAGCCAUUAAUGGCACACUCCCUCUAUCACAUAUGAGCUGAGGGAUAUCCUUGUGUCAGAGACAUCUCCCUCUGCCAUCUCACCCGGGAGUGCAGAAGCCCAGAAUGAGUGCAGGGCAGUGGCUGAGCAGCAGCUGAAUAUUCAGAUUUCACUCUUCAAGCAACCAGAGAUACUUCGAAACCACGCGUGAGACAAAAUGAUGUUAAACUUUCAAUUCUUAAACCUCUCUUUAGCCGUACUCCAGAAGUGAGCAGUUCAUAGCAGACCGGGAUUUCUGAUUGACACUUUGCCAUCAGAAGCCCUCGAGUAGGAUUUUUCCAGCUAUAACACAGCUAUAACACUGGGCUCUGCUCCCUUUUGAAAGAUGCUAUUUUGCGAAUAGGAGCACAGGAGAAAUUUGCAUAAAAGCUUCAUAUAUAAUACAUGAUUGCUUGGAAAUUAAGAAGCAGCAGUUUUUCCCUUAUUGUUUUUGGAAUAAAGGUAAAGAAGGAUAAGCUUGGAGUGCCCAGUCACCGUGGUAACUGCCAGAAAAAUUCUCCUGAAGUUUGAAGAGGUCAGCUAACGGGGUCAACAACUCUGGCCUCUUUCUGAGCUGGGGCUGGCAGGCUCCAUCCUGCGGCUGGGGUGUUAGCGCAGGCUGAGCCCUGGGAGGUGGACCAUUCCAGCUCUGAUAUAAAUUUUUUGAGUCAGUUCACGGCCUGGACUCUCCAGGUGGCCUCCAAAAUCGAUUGUGACCUUGUGACCCUGUCUAACGGAGGCAUAGCAUCCACCCUAAGUAAGGAUUUAGCCAGGAACGACAGCUUUCCACUGAGUGUUAUUGGGGACAGUACAAACAGUUUUGGAAGCAAGGAGGUAGGUAUGAGGAGUUGAGGUCAUUAAAGGCAUAUUAAAAAACACUUUUAAAAAUCCUUGUUAGUGGAAAGUUUUUAUUAGCAUUAUUCCUUAAAUAAACUGUUCUGGCAAGGACCCUUUUAUCUUCCCUAACAAUAUCAUACCAAGUAUUUCAGUGCAUUAACAUAUGAAAAAUUGGCACUUUCUAUAUUCCAAACUGAACUCUUGUCUACCUUUGGAUUUUGAACUUGCAAGUGAAGCUGGCAGAUGUGUGAUAAGACUUCUGUGAAGCAUGUUUUUUUCCUUAAUAUCAUAAAAACCAGGAGACUGCUUA